rnacentral:rRNA from 1 species
CAGUCGCCACGGGAAUACGUAGGGUGCAAGCGUUAAUCGGAAUUACUGGGCGUAAAGCGUGCGCAGGCGGUUGUGUAAGACAGGUGUGAAAUCCCCGGGCUUAACCUGGGAAUUGCAUUUGUGACUGCACGACUAGAGUGUGUCAGAGGGGGGUGGAAUUCCACGUGUAGCAGUGAAAUGCGUAGAUAUGUGGAGGAACACCAAUGGCGAAGGCAGUCCCCUGGGAUAACACUGACGCUCAUGCACGAAAGCGUGGGGAGCAAACAGGAUUAGAUACCCGUGUAGUCCCUGUCUCUUAUAC